rnacentral:rRNA from 1 species
UACAGAGGUCUCGAGCGUGAGGCGGAAUCACUGGGCUUAAAGCGUGUGUAGGCGGAUUGGUAAGUACCUUGUGAAAUCCCACGGCUUAACCGUGGAACUGCUUGGUAUACUGCCUGUCUUGAGCCAGCUAGGGGCGACCGGAACAAAUGGUGGAGCGGUGAAAUGCGUAGAUAUCAUUUGGAACGCCAAUGGUGAAAACAGGUCGCUGGGGCUGUGCUGACGCUGAGACACGAAAGCCAGGGGAGCAAACGGG